rnacentral:rRNA from 1 species
CAGCAGCCGCGGGAAUACGAAGGGGGCUAGCGUUACUCGGAAUUACUGGGCGUAAAGGGCGCGUAGGCGGCACGAUUAGUCAGGCGUGAAAUUCCUGGGCUCAACCUGGGGACUGCGCUUGAUACGGUCGAGCUAGAGGAUGGAAGAGGGUCGUGGAAUUCCCAGUGUAGAGGUGAAAUUCGUAGAUAUUGGGAAGAACACCGGUGGCGAAGGCGGCGACCUGGUCCAUUACUGACGCUGAGGCGCGACAGCGAGGGGAGCAAACAGGAUUAGAUACCCCCGUAGUCCCUGUCUCUUAUAC